UUUGCAGUAAUUUCAGUGUUUCAUAGAUUAAGAUUACAGAUGUAUGUUCAUGAAUGAUGAGUAGUUUCAGUUAUUUCCCAACUUGAAAGAAACUGGAAUAGGUAGUAGUAGGACAAUGAGUCAUCCUGCACUAGUACAAGUACAUGAACAAGUAGUAUUAUACGAGUCAGUGUAAUACCUAUGGUGUUGAUUUUGAAAUUUGAUGCUCUCUAAUGUUCCUAUAUUUCCAUUGAUCAGAAAUCUUUGCUAUAAGUUUCUUCGAAUUAAGCGCUUCUCCAUUCUCAGUACACCAGGAGAAACACGUAAUAGUUUUCAUGAUUGUUCACAUGCCCUCUGGAAUCUGUUAUUCCUUUAAUGAUUGCCCAUGUUAUUAUUAUAUCUUAUAUUAAAGGGAACUGUCCUUUUAACAUGUUUAUUAUUUCUUGUAGCCGCUGGCCUGGUCCUCCUCGAGGAGGAGGAGCAGGAGGGGCGCACCCAGCAUCAGGAGAGGAGAGGAGAGGGAGAUUCAUGGCGGCCGGCGGCCAGAUCCACGCCAGGACCGGGCCUGCUCGUCAAGGAGACCCACGCCAUGGACUAGUAGCUCAAGCAGUCUUCUUUUCUUCCUGCCCAUCACCAUCUGCAGGUUGUCAUCCUCAAGGCCUCCACCAUCUGCAGGUCUUCUUCUUCCAUUCCAUUCUCUGCUCUGUUCUUCUCUCCUGCAGUGUCUACAGUGGAUGCAAAUACCUGAUUGUAUAUGGAUGGAUGGAUUGCAGGGUCUACAAUGCACCACCUUGAUUUGUUGAUUCGGUCUGGAGCAGCAGCAGCAAUAGCUCCUUCCUUCCAUGUAGAUGGAAGGCAUGACCUGCACAAGGAGCUCCAAGGAGACAAAGUGAUUGCUAAAAAUGACAGGGAUGAGAUCGACCGCCAAGAAUGAUGCAUAGCUUAACUGCUGUCGUAGUCGAUUUCCAACAGGGAAUACCUUUCUAGACUCCAACCUUCACAGUUCUCGUUGAUUCAUCUUGCUAGCAACUGAGUAGCUUUUUUGCAUACUUCUGUCAACAGCUCAAUGCCACCAAAUCUUUUUUGCCGUUCUUCUCUAUUAUACAACAUCUGUUAUACAUCAUACAGUGCCGAGCUCCUCAUACACCAACCAUUGUACAAACAUAUCAUGAGUGUAGGAAAAUUUUGAACCUGUAGUAUGUCACCUUGUUUUCCAGAUGGGCAAUAGACGUCGUCAUACUGUACUGUAAUAGUGUCUUACUGGGUUUCAAUUUGGUUUGCUUUGUACAUUGCUUGCACUGGAAAUGUUGAACUAUCGAGCCUCCUCUACUCUGUUCUGCUGUAUGAUUACAAUUGCAAUAGUAUUAUUGGAUCUGUUAAUCAGUGCCUACAUGUUAGAUCGGCUUGAUUUUGAGAUGCAGCGAGACUCUGAUGUUUCUGAAUUCUGAUGUGAAGGCAUGUCUACAUCAGUACAACUUUGCAUGCAUAUUUUAUUAACUAGAUAUAUACGUGUUGACUGUUUGUUCCUCUAGUUUCCUGAUGUGCAUGUUUAUUUGGAUGCACUGAACCUUUGCAUGUAGUAAUAGUUCUCUGAUAUACAUGCAACCUGAUGGAACUUUCAUGCUCUGCUAUUGACCUACCAUGAAUAUAUAUUACUACAGCAGCCUGUUACUGUUACUACAUGCCAUCUUUUUAUUUUCAGUAGUGAUUUUGAUGCAACCUGAUGGAACUUUCAUGCUCUGCUGGUGAGAAUAAGAUGUUAUAGUCUAGAUAUAUGAUGCAAAGUAUGUUGUAUUUACACACUUGUAUCAAACUGCAGCAACCGCACAGGUGAGUUGAGGCAGGGGAUAGAGAGGUUGAGCCGCUCGGGUGCUGAUCAUGUACAGCUGCGCUCUUUCCAGCGUCGACGCAACCAAACCAAUGAUGCAAGGCUUCUGCUGCUGCAUGUCUUCAUGAACUUAGUUGUUCCACAGGGAGAGAUAUAAAUCCUUCACUUGUUCACUUUGUAAUCUGCAGAUUACUUCUUCCAUUAAUCACCUAGUGCUCCUGUUAGUGAGAUUCAGCUAGUAUUUUUUUGCAAAGCAUGCAAUGGUUUGGAGUAGCUGAUCAUGGCCUAAUGGAACCUCUAGCUGAACAAUAAGAUAGGUUAGUUAGUGUAGUAGAGGAAGAAAGAUGAUAUAUUUAUUAUUUGCUUUUGCUGCUUCUAUAUACACAUGUAUGUAUGUUUAGUUAUUCGACAUGCUUCUGAAAUUGACUGGUUUUAGACCGAAACACUAUGCUUGUUCAAAGUUCAUUUCAGAUGGUUAUUUCUGGAUUUAGUACGAAUUUAUUGUUGACCUGGCCUAUGCUCUGUACCAAUUUAUUGCAUUAUUUUGUUAUUUAGUGUUAAAUAUGCUGUUAGAUUUACUUUUAUUUUGUUCCUAAACAUUUUGUUCUAUAACGUGCAGAUGCUGGCCUUUCAUGUUUCUUUGCGAAUAUCAGGACAAAGAAGUCGGAGGAAGCAUAGUUCUAGCUCAUUGGAGCUAAUUCUGAUAGUAAUUUGAUGUAGCAGAACUUGGCUCAUGUGAUUGUACACUUGUAGAGCUUGUUAUCUGAUUGUAUACUUGUAGAGCUUGUUAUCUGAUUGUAAUCUUGAUGCUGAUCACAUUUGUAUGUGUGUUAUAUGAUGUA